rnacentral:rRNA from 1 species
CAAAUUCUUAGUGGCGGACGGGUUAGUAACACGUGAGAAUCCUACCCUUGAGUGGGGAAUAGCCUUUCGAAAGGAAGAUUAAUGCCCCAUAGUCUCUACGGAGUAAAGAUGCCUUCGGGUGUCGCUUAAGGAUGGGCUCGCGGCCUAUCAGCUAGUUGGUGAGGUAAGAGCUCACCAAGGCAACGACGGGUAGCUGGUCUGAGAGGACGAUCAGCAACACUGGAACUGAGACACGGUCCAGACACCUACGGGUGGCAGCAGUCGAGAAUCAUUCACAAUGGACGAAAGUCUGAUGGUGCAACGCCGCGUGGAGGAUGACGGCCCUAGGGUUGUAAACUCCUGUCAUCAGGGAGUAAGACUUAUUCGUUAAUAGCGUGUAAGUUUGAUAGUACCUGAAGAGGAAGGGACGGCUAACUUCGUGCCAGCAGCCGCGGUAAUACGAAGGUCCCAAGCGUUGUUCGGAAUAACUGGGCGUAAAGCGUGUGUAGGCCGCGCGGAAAGUCGGAUGUGAAAGCCCAAGGCUCAACCUUGGAACUGCAUCCGAUACUCCCGUGCUAGAGUAAUGGAGAGGUAAGUGGAAUUCUCGGUGUAGCAGUGAAAUGCGUAGAUAUCGAGAGGAACAUCAAUGGCGAAGGCAACUUACUGGACAUUCACUGACGCUCAGACACGAAGGCUAGGGUAGCGAAAGGGAUUAGAUG